rnacentral:rRNA from 1 species
UAUAUAUAAACUAUAUUAGUUAAAUAAAUUUAAUUUAACAGUACUAAGUUAAACUUGACCAAUUCUUAAAAAGGCUCUUUGAAAUAAUGAUAAUCAACGAUGGAAUAUUAGUUAUUCCUACAAUUAUGUCAUUCGCUAAAUAAAGCGCUGUUUUUAGGUAAGACCGGUAUCAUUUUUUGAUAUUUAUAGAAGUCCAAGUCUUGUAAAAGCAAGCAGUCCGUCAUUGCUGUUUGGUCAGCAGUAAUUGAUUGUUGUUUAGUUUAUUUUGGAGGUUUAGAAUGAUAUCAACAUUUUAUAAAACAUCACAAUUUUUAUAAAUCUACUAUUAGCAAUGUACUAUUCUUUAAUAAACGUUUAAGAAAUUGACCAAUUCUUAAAAAGCUUUUAGUAAAUGAUAUCAACAUUUUAUAAAACAUCACAAUUUUUAUAAAUCUACUAUUAGCAAUGUACUAUUUUCUAAUAUCUAGUAUUAGUUAUGUACUAUUACCUAAUAUCUACUAUUAGCAAUGUACUAUUCUUUAAUAAACGUUUAAGAAAUUGACCAAUUCUUAAAAAGCCUUUAGUAAAUGAUAUCAACUAAAUCAACGGAAGAUUAGUUAUUCCUAGAGUUAUGACGUUCGUUAAAUAAAGUGCUGUUUUUUGAGUAUCAGAAGAAAAUCUAGCUAUAAAAAAGUAAAGGCGUAGAGUUUUACGAAAAGCUCUAUUGAGGUAUGAUAAAUGGUCUGCAAUGUAGAGGUUUCUUAAUGGAAAACCAUUCUUUUUUGAAUUUAUAUAUGACCUUGCGAAUUGAAACAUCUUAUUAGCUUGUGGAAUAAAAAUCAACCGAGAUUUUGUAAGUAAUGGCGAGUGAAAGCAAAAAAAAGUAACUUUUUUAUUGAAAAUUAAAAAAUUUGGAAAAAUUUAUCAAAGAAGGUGAUAGUCCUGUAAAAUUUCAAAUAUUGUUUUUAGUAAAGAAAAUUUUUCUUGAAUAUUGGGGUUUCAUCCUCGAACUUUAAAUAUCUUUUAUAUGCGAUAGCAUAAAAGUACUGUGAAGGAAAGAUGAAAAGAAUCCUUAAAACGGAAGUGAAAAGAUCUUAAAUUCUGAUACUUACAACUAAUCAUACUCUUGUUUAUUAAACGAUAAUCUGGUGUGCCUUUUGUAUCAUGCAUUAGCGACUUUAUAAUUGCAGCAAGCUUAAUUUGUUAAAUGUAAGCAAAGUAAAAACAAGUUUUUGAUAAGCGUAGUUUAUCAGUUGCUAUUAUAAGACUCGAAUCCAAGUGAUCUUACCAUGAACAAGCUGAAAACAUAAUAACUUAUGUAGGAAGGCUGCACUCAUAGCUGUUGCAAAAGCUUGAGAAGAUUUGUGGUUAGGGGUGAAAGGCCAAUCAAACUUGGUGAUAGCUAGUUUUUUGCGAAAAAUAUUUAGGUAUUGCGUGAUAUUUAAUUUUGAUAAUAGGUAGAGCUCUUUUUAGAUUAAGGAAGCUAAGACUUUACUGACUCUCGAAAAACUUCAAAUGGUUAUUAACAACAUAUUGCAGUCAGAUUACGGGUGCUAAGGUCCGCAAUCAAAAGGGAAACAGCCCAGCUUAUUGGUUAAGGUCCAAAAAUAACAAGCUUAGUGAUAAAGAUGGUAAAAUUGUUAAGAUAAUUAGAAGGUAGGCUUGGAAGCAGCCAUUCUUUUUAAAAUGCGUAACAGCAUACUAAUUGAAAACGAAAGUUUGAAGUUUUUUGCAUCGAAAAUUUAAAUGGACUAAAGCUCUUUACCGAAACUAUAAAUUUUCAGUUUGAGGAAGAUGGUAGCAAAACGUUUUUAAAUCAAUAAAAGUUCAUUGUUAAAUGAGUUGAAGAUAAAAAAGUGAGAAUGCUAAUAUGAGUAACAUUAAACAAUGUAAUAUACAUUGUCGCCGUAAAAUCAAGGUUUUCUACGUAAAGUUUAGCUUCGUAGAGUUGGGCGGUCUCUAAAAAAUUUUGUGAUAACAUUAUUUGAUGAGAAGAAUAAAUUAGUCUAGACAUUAAGUGACAAGUAAACCCCUUUUUUGAAAAAAAGUGGAUUUUUUUAAAAAUUGUUUUGCUUCAAGAAAAAGCUUCUGUCAAUUUUAUAAAAAAUACCCGUACUUAACCGACAAAGGAGAUUUUUUAGGCGUUGAGACAAUUAUUUUUAAGGAACUCGGCAAAAUAAUUCUGUAACUUAGGAAGAAAGAAUACCUUAACAAAAAGGUGAAACAGAUCAGGGGAUAGCGACUGUUUAAUAAAAACAAAAGACUUUGCUAAAUAGUAAUAUGAUGUAUAAGGUCUUAUGCCUGCCCAGUGUUGUAAUGUCAAACUUUUGGUGUUCACGUAUCGUUGUUAAACUUCAAUAAACGGCAGUCGUAACUCUAACGAUUCAAAGGUAGCGAAAUUCCUAGUCAUUUAAUUGGUGACCUGCAUGAAAGGCAUAACGACUUUCCCACUGUCUUGAAAAUGAACUCAGUGAAAUUAGAAUCUGCGUGAAGAUACGCAGUAACAUAAGUUAGACGGAAAGACCCCAUAAACCUUUACUAUAAAUUUGUAUUGUUAUGAUUUGUUUUUUGUGUAGUAUAUGUGGUAACUCUUUAUAAAAGUGAUAUGAAAUACCACUCUAAAAAUAAAAUCUAACUAAUUUGUUGACAAAAAAAAUGCAAAUGGUUUAGUUUGGCUGGGGCGGCAAUCUCCAAAAAAGUAACGGAGAUCUGCAAUGGUAGGCUCAAAUUUAGUAGAAAUGAAUUUUUGAGUACAAUGGCAUAAAGCCUGCUUGACUGUAAGAUAAACAAAUCAAACAGGGACGAAAGUCGGUCAUAGUGAUCCGAAAAUUUUAAAUGGAAAAUUUUUCGCUCAAGGAAUAAAAGGUACUUUGGGGAUAACAGGCUAAUGACUCUUAAGAGCUCAUAUCGACAGAGUCGUUUGGCACCUCGAUGUCGACUCUUCGCAUCCUGGAGCUGUAGAAGGUUUCAAGGGUAUGGCUGUUCGCCAUUUAAAGCGGAACGUGAGUUGGGUUUAGAACGUUGUAAAACAGUUUGGUCCCUAUCUGCUUUAGUUGUAAAAGAAAUGAAAAGAUUUGUUUUUAGUACGAGAGGACCAAAACAACAUAACCACUUAUGUACCAGUUUUACCAAAAAGUCGGGUAGUUACGUUAUUUUAAUAUAAUCACUGAAAACAUCAA